GUCUACAGCCAUGCCACGCUGAACGCGCCCGAUCUCGUCUGAUCUCAGAAGCUAGGUUAGUACUUGAAUGGGAGACCACCUAGGAAGACCAGGUGCUGUAGGCG
rnacentral:rRNA from 1 species